rnacentral:rRNA from 1 species
CAGGCGGAAUAAAAAAGGUGUGAUAGGCUACCUUUUGUAUCAGGGAUCUUUAAAGGAAUAGAGCAAAGGGAGGUCUCGGUUUUAUUUGAUAACCAAUAGGUGUUAUAAGAGCUGUAGGAUUAGUUUUUGUUAGCUUGUUAGUGGUGAAAGGCCUUCGAUUAUUAAGGUAUCUAGUUAUUUGGGUGAAAUUUAAGUUUUUUACUGGGGUGUAAAGCUAAUAAUAAGUUAAGUUUGUUGUUAGUAAAAUGAGUGGGAUAGAAGUCAGGUAUUUAGGCUUUAGGUUAGUCAUAUUUUUAGUUUGUUUUAAAUAAUCAAUUUUUGUGUUACAAGCUCUGUAAAGAGGCCAAGUUAUUUAUGUUAUUGUAGCUAUAAGUAAGAAAUGAGGGUAUAAGUAGAAUUUAUAGUUAAAGUUAAGGAACUCGUUAGGUUUAUGAAGGUUUAUCAAAAACAUUGCUAUAGGGGUAGCGUAUGGUAAGGCCUGCCCAGUGAUUUAUUAAACGGCUGCGGUAUAUUGACCGUGCUAAGGUAGCAUAGUCAUUUGUCUUUUAAUUGGAGGCUGGAAUGAAGGGUUUAACAAAAGAUAGUGUCUUUAUUUUAAAUUUGUAAUUUAUAGUAAGAGUAAAAAUACUCUGGUGUGAUUAAGGGACGACAAGACCCUAAAAGCUUUAUUUUUAGUAUUAGUUUGAGUUUAAAAUAAAAUAGAGAGUUUAACUGGGGUAGUUUUUUUGUAAAAUCUGAGGUUGUAGAAGGCAUGUAAAGUGGGGUUAGGUCCUUUAGAUAAGGAUAAUUUGAGUGAGUUACUUUAGGGAUAACAGCGUAAUAGUCCUAGGGAGAUCGUAUCUAUGGGGCUGAUUGCGACCUCGAUGUUGAAUUAAAAGCUCAGUGUAGAGCAGAAGCUACAGAGUGAGGGUUUGUUCAACCUUUAAAUUUUUACAUGAUUUGAGUUCAAAUCGGUUUAAGCCAGAUUGGUUUCUAUCUUUUAUGGGAGAGUUAGCACUCUAGUACGAAAGGGCCGAGUG